UUAAAACAUAAAACAUGUCAGACCUCUGGUAAAAUUAUUAUACACUUUCGGUGAGAUAACUAAUAGGAGAAAUUUGACAUCAAGAACUGAAUGUAAUAAUUAAACAACCACAACUUGCAUUUAAAAGCCUUAUAACAGGAAGUUGUUUACAACAAUAGAAUGAAUUAUUUGUUUUGAGCCACUGUAUUCCAACAGGGGGGUGGAUAGAUCACGGCACGGUUAUUUGUAAUGAACAGGAAGUGGUGGUGUGCAAACGAAAUGCACGAAAGAAAGCGAGAGUGCGUCGCAUGGAAAUCGCAUGAACGAGAUACUCCACAGCAGUCAAAGAUGUUUGGAGCUGCAAAAAGAUGCGCAGUCCUCUUCUACCUGUUUCCAUGUCUGGCAAACGGCGUCAAGUUUGACGAGCAGGUUCCUGUCCGCACCGCGCCCCCAGGCGAGCGAGUGGAGAUUGCAUGCAGCCACGACGACAGCAGCCUCCUCGUCAUGUCCUGGUACGAGCAGCGGGAGCGAAGCAGAGCCCUCCGCCUGAUCGGAUCUGGCUACAGCACAGCAGAGCCCACCUACGAGGACCCGUUCGCGGCGCGGUUCCAGCUGAGGAGAGAGUCGGUCCAGAAGGGUUCCCUGCUCAUCUCCAAUGUGACGAUGGCAGACUCCGCUGAGUACUUCUGUGCAGCCAGUCAAGCACGGGGUGUCCUCCAGCCCGGUGGUGCUGCAGACUGAGGCUCACCUGACCCCCUCGCCCGGAGACACGGUCACCCUGAGCUGCAGCAUGGCUGCCGGGCUCUCCAUGAGCAGCUACACCAUGUACUGGUACAGGCAAGCCCGGGCCGGGGCGCCCAUCGAGUUCCUAAAAAAGGAGUACGACACCU